rnacentral:rRNA from 1 species
AGUGAACGCUGGCGGUAGGCCUAACACAUGCAAGUCGAACGGCAGCACAGUAAGAGCUUGCUCUUACGGGUGGCGAGUGGCGGACGGGUGAGGAAUACAUCGGAAUCUACUUUUUCGUGGGGGAUAACGUAGGGAAACUUACGCUACUACCGCAUACGACCUACGGGUGAAAGCAGGGGAUCUUCGGACCUUGCGCGAUUGAAUGAGCCGAUGUCGGAUUAGCUAGUUGGCGGGGUAAAGGCCCACCAAGGCGACGAUCCGUAGCUGGUCUGAGAGGAUGAUCAGCCACACUGGAACUGAGACACGGUCCAGACUCCUACGGGAGGCAGCAGUGGGGAAUAUUGGACAAUGGGCGCAAGCCUGAUCCAGCCAUGCCGCGUGGGUGAAGAAGGCCUUCGGGUUGUAAAGCCCUUUUGUUGGGAAAGAAAAGCAGCGGGUUAAUACCCCGCUGUUCUGACGGUACCCAAAGAAUAAGCACCGGCUAACUUCGUG